CUGUGGGGCGGCGGGCCGCAGGCGGGGGCCAUGGGCAAAGACUACUCCCAGACACUGGGCCUGGCCCGCGGCGCGUCGGACGAGGAGAUCAAGCGGGCCUGCCGUCGCCAGGCGCUGCGCUACCACCAGGACAAGAACAAGGGCCCGGCGCCGAGGAGAAGUUCAAGGAGAUCGCCGAGGCCUACCACGUGCUGAGCGAGCGCAAGCGCGAGAUCUUCAACUGCUACGGGGAGGAAGGGCUAAAGGGCAGCGGCCCCAGUGGCGGUAGCGGUGGUGGUGCCAAUGGUACCUCUUUCAGCUACACAUUCCAUGGAGACCCUCAUGCCAUGUUUGCUGAAUUCUUAGGCGGCAGAAAUCCCUUUGACCCCUUUUUUGGGCGGCGGAAUGGGGAGGAAGGCAUGGACAUUGACGACCCAUUAUCUGGCUUCCCUAUGGGCAUGGGUGGCUUCACCAACAUGAACUUUGGCGGCUCCGGCCCUGCCCAAGAGCCCACCCAAAAGAAGCAAGGUCCCCCAGUCACCCACGACCUUCGGGUCUCCCUUGAAGAGAUCUACAGCAGCUGCACCAAGAAGAUGAAAAUCUCCCACAAGCGGCUAAACUCCGAUGAAAAGAGCAUUCGAAACGAAGACAAAAUCUUGACCAUCGAAGUGAAGAAGGGGUGGAAAGAAGGGACCAAAAUCACAUUCCCCAAGGAAGGAGACCAGACAUCCAACAACAUUCCAGAUGAUAUUGUCUUUGUUUUAAAGGACAAGCCGCACAAUAUCUUUAAGAGAGAUGGCUCUGAUGUCAUUUAUCCUGCCAGGAUCAGCCUCCGGGAGGCUUUGUGUGGCUGCACAGUGAACAUCCCCACUCUGGACGGCAGGACCAUACCCGUGCUAUUCAAAGAUGUCAUCAGGCCUGGCAUGCGUCGAAAAGUUCCUGGAGAAUGCCUCCCCCUCCCCAAAACGCCCGAGAAAUGUGGGGACCUCAUUACUGAGUUUGAAGUGAUCUUCCCCAAAAGGGUUCCCCAGACAUCAAGAUCCGCUCUUGAGAAGGUUCUUCCGAUAUAGCUACCUGAGCUCUCCAGACUGACUAGGGACCUUUCUAGGGCUCAAGGAUUUCUGGACCUUUCUACCUAUUGUGGACCAUGAGAGGGCGGAGGGCCCAGGGAGGGUUUUCAUACUGCUGAAUGUUUUCCAGAGCAUAUAUUACAAUCUUUCAAAGUCG